GAGAACUGGGCAGCUUGAGUGAUUGGUUUGGUCGCCUCCUUCAGACAUUUGCCUGGCACUGGUGGGUGUGGAAAAGGCGGAGCAGGUGAGCCUUGGGAGGAGGCCAAGGGAGGCCUGCCAUCUCUGAGGGAAUUCUGAGGGCUUCAUGACCUCACCCAUGCAGGCUCAACUGCCAGUUACUGUCAGUUAUCAGAGUGAAGGUGCCUUCCAAGAGAACUCGUUCAAGGGAGACAGGAUUUUGUCCUGGAUUGCUAUAUUGCUUUGAAAUUCAGAAAAAGUUGCCUCACCUAAGCAGAAAUAAUGGAGGGAGCUCACCUGGGAUGAUGGAAAAAAGCACAAAACAACAUGACAACACAAAGGGUGUGAUGGGAAGUUUAUCCAGAGCUACAUUAAUGAGUGGAGCUUCUGUGCCAUCAUAUUCAACAUGUAUCAUCAUUUUCUUAGUACAUAAUUAUCUUUCUUCUUACAUUUGAAUUUAAUGUAUUGUGAAUUUAAUGUAUGAAAUAAAUAUAUUUCCCCCAUA